rnacentral:miRNA from 1 species
UGCAAAUCUUUCGCGACUGUAGG